rnacentral:rRNA from 1 species
GGAGGAAAAGAAACCAACAGGGAUUGCCUCAGUAACGGCGAGUGAAGCGGCAACAGCUCAAAUUUGAAAUCUGGAGCCUUCGGCUUCCGAGUUGUAAUUUGAAGAGGAUGUUUCGGUUGUGGCCUGGGCCUAAGUUCCUUGGAACAGGACGUCAUGGAGGGUGAGAAUCCCGUACAUGGCUGCAGGCUUACUUCCAUGUGAAACUCCUUCGAAGAGUCGAGUUGUUUGGGAAUGCAGCUCAAAAUGGGUGGUAAAUUUCAUCUAAAGCUAAAUAUUGGCGGGAGACCGAUAGCGCACAAGUAGAGUGAUCGAAAGAUGAAAAGCACUUUGAAAAGAGAGUUAAACAGCACGUGAAAUUGUUGAAAGGGAAGCGCUUGCGAUCAGACUCGCUCUCGGUUGAUCAACGUUCCUUCUGGUGCGUGCACUCUGCCGUUGGCGGGCCAGCAUCGGUUGGGGCGGCGGGACAAAGGCGGCGGGAAUGUGGCUCCUCUCGGGGAGUGUUAUAGCCCGCUGUGUAAUGCCGCCAGCCCCGACCGAGGUCCGCGGUUCUGCCUAGGAUGCUGGCUUAAUGGUCGUAAGCGACCCGUCUUGAAACACGGACCAAGGAGUCUAACAUCUAUGCGAGUCUUUGGGUGUCAAACCCAUGGGCGGAAUGAAAGUGAACGGAGGUGGGAGUCCUCGGAUGCACCAUCGACCGAUCCUGAUGUUCUCGGAUGGAUUUGAGUAUGAGCAUAGCUGUUGGGACCCGAAAGAUGGUGAACUAUGCCUGAAUAGGGUGAAGCCAGAGGAAACUCUGGUGGAGGCUCGCAGCGGUUCUGACGUGCAAAUCGAUCGUCAAAUUUGGGUAUAGGGGCGAAAGACUAAUCGAACCAUCUAGUAGCUGGUUCCUGCCGAAG